AACCAGCACCUCAAGUGGUCAGGAUGAUUAUUGGGCCUAAAGCAUCCGUAGCCGGCUCUGUUAGUUUUCGGUUAAAUCUAUGCGCUCAACGCAUGGGCUGCCGAAAAUACUGCAGAGCUAGGGAGUGGGUGAGGUAGACGGUACUCGGUAGGAAGGGGUAAAAUCCUUUGAUCUAUUGAUGACCACCUGUGGCGAAGGCGGCUACCUGGUCCGGAUCUGACGCUGAGGCGCGAAAGCGUGGGGAGCGAACAGG
rnacentral:rRNA from 1 species